AUCAUUACUCCGUAUAGCUCUCUACAAAUUUGCUAUCGCAAUUGAUGCUUCGCCUUUUCGGUGAAACUGCGACAUCUUUUUUGUUUUAUAUUAGGGAUGUGUAAACAUUUGAAACUUUUGAUCACUGAAUCGAGUAUUGGCAAAUUAAAUUUGGUCUUUGAGUCAAAUAGUGACUAUUUGUAACUAUGAACAUUUUUGGAAUAGUUUUUGAGCGUUUUAAACCGCCAACUGAGGGCAGUCGAACAAAAAAUUGUAGCAAAAGUGAUAAGUUUUAUCCUGGCAGCUAUAGUAAACAUAAAAAUGAGAAGUUAUCUAGUGGAGCACACUGUAAGCUGCUCAGAAAGCCACACUUUUCUGCUUAACCCACUAUCAUUCUCACUCACUGAAGCGUCCAGAGUUUGCAAACGAACUGCUUAUUUGUUCAUAAUGUGUUAUUUGUGCUUUUAAUAAACUGCUUCACUAUUUGCAAUGCAAUGAUGGAACUUUGAAAGCAUUGUGAAUAUACUAGGAUGUGAAUAUCGUUUUAUAUUAAUGGUGAUUGAUAAUGGCUGUUCAUCAUUUGAAAAUUAUUAGAAAAGUAUUCGUUACUCGAUUCGUUUCGCUUCUGGCACUAUUCUAUUUGUGUUCUGUUCGGUGUCAAAAAUAACUAUUCGCACACUCCUAGUUAAUAUUCAGAUUUUAAGGCACAAGGUUUUUAAAUGUAUUUUGCCAAUAAUUUUAAUCUUGCAGUUAUUCUCCUUGCAAUUUUGCACAAAUGUUCAUUUCUUCCGCUGCACGGUUUAUUCAUUUUAAUGCAGAAAUGUUUUGAUAUUAGGCCUCCCAUAAACUUGCUGUCAGAAUAGAUGAAGGAACUUAUGACAUUGUAUGCAGAUAUUUGAAACCUGGCAGUAUCUUUUUGAAAAUGAGGCACCAAUGGUAAUUCCUUAUGACGCACUUUUUUCUUUUUUUCUUUUUGCUAUUAAUUUACUGUUACUUAAGGGGUACUGAAACGAAAAUUCCAACUUGAAAUAACUGGCAGAUUUCAUUUAUGCGAGCUCAUAGGUAUCAUCUGUAAAGUAUCAAUAGCAAAUGCAGAUUAGAACACAUUUAGUUUAAUUUUCAAGUUCAUGCAAGCAACAAAUUAGAAAGUGCAGCAUCUAUCGAUGUUUAAAAUGAUGGGGUUUUACGUGCCAAAACCAGGAUCUGAUUAUGAGGCACGCCGUAGUGAGGGACUCCGGAAAUUUGGACCACCUGGUGUUCUUUAACGUGCACUUAAAUCUAAGUACAUGGGUGUUUUCGCAUUUCGCCCCCAUCGAAAUGCAGUCGCUGUGGCCAGGAUUCGAUUGCGUGACCUUGUGCUCGGCAGCCCAAAUCUAUCAAUGUAGUCGUCAGCAUAGGUCCUAUUUGUAAACAAUGUUAUGUCACGAGUUUUGGCAAUUGAUUUCGGUGACAUGCGACGUCAUUGGCUUGUCUUGCCGUUCGGAAGACGUUUCAGCACUGUUUGCAUUGGGUGUCUUGCACUGACUGCACACGAAGUGUACGUGCAAACUUCUUACCAUUUACGAAUUUCCAUGUUACCGGUGCCACGGCCUGCAGUAGCAAAACAGGUGGUGACAUUCUGGGACGAAUUGUUUUACUACAAUGCAUUCAAAAGUCUUUUUAGAGUGCAGCUCUUAGGUGCCCGUUUCUGCGGCAAAUGUCGGCAUAACUUAGCGAACGAGCACAUCGAAAGGUGAAAGCGAACCUGUAGCGCAGCAGGUGAUGGAAAGAUGUGAGGAGGAAAGCGGAAAGGAGGGUGCAGUGGAACCAUGAGGCGGAAAGCAGAGGAGGAGGAGGGUAUGGCGAAAGGGUGAGAGGAAAGGCGUAGUGCGGCAACGAUGGCUACGAGAUGGCACCAGAGUAGCACGCGUUGUCUGGUAGGUCUGUCAGCGGUGGCUGCUGUGAAUCGCGCCCACACAUCACCCAUGCGCUAGCUCUCACGAUCUCCAGAUUAGCGAGUCAGUCACGCCACACUUCGCUCCGUUUGCAACGUUCCGCAUGAGACAGAUGUUUCGUGCCAGCCAAUAUAUCGCAAAAUGAAAAUAAGUAUAGAGCUGCACUCAAAUUUUGCAUUAGGGAGCAUUACCAUCGGUGAAUUUUUUUUAUGUGUCAAUGUUAUUGUCGAAGGAAAUUAUCAGAAAAGUAUGAUAUGUUAACGAUUAAGUUGCUACCAAUGCUUACACCAGCAGUUAGGUAGAAUAUGUAACUUGCAGUAUUAGUUUUGCGAGCUCUCUGGUUAGACACGGUAUUAGCAGAUGUUGCUAGCAGUGUUGUUCUCUGGUAUACCUCUCUGGUUACCCAGUAAACUGCAAAUGGUAAGAAGUUUACAGACACACUAAAGCUCUUUACUGCUCGAAUCACGUAUUGCAUAGUGGAAUUCUGCCCAAUUAUGCAUUACGAUGAUGUAGCUAAGCGCAGGUUUCCCACCAAACUAGCAGAUUAGACAGGAGUGCAGGUCCGCGUGCUCACGUGAUCAUAGCUGUUUACAAAUAUGCCUCUUACAUCACGGGGCACGAAUUGCUCUUCGAAAUCGAAACUGCGACCAGUCGUAACAUACGAGCAUAUGACUAAGCAAUCAUCGCACAUUGGAGCAAACAAGUUUUUUUGCCAUGAUUACUGCGUCAUUACCUACUGAUUAAACGAAAUAAACAUAGCCCCCAAAAAUGUGUGUCAGUACUCUUUAAGAGCAUCUUAUGUUAGACUUUUCAAUAAUUAACUCUGAAAAUAGGCAAUAGAAUAUAAAUCAGCUCCUGCUCAUAUCUAAGAUGAAAUCUCCCCCUGAAAGUGUAACAGCCAAGUGAAUACAGCUUAAUUAAAUAUAUUAAAAUGAAAUUCUGAGGUUUUACAUCCCAAAACCACAAUCUGAUUAUGAGGCGUAGUGGAGGACUCCAGAUUAAUUUGGCUGCCUAGGGUUCUUUAACAAGCACGUAAAGUACAAGAGCAUUUCUUGCAUUUUGCCUCCAUCGAAAUACGGAUGCCACAGCCGGGGUUGAACCCAUCACCUUGUGCUUAGCAGUGCAACUUCGUAGCCAUGAAGCUACUGACUGCGACUAAUCGAAAACUGUUCAAUGUUGAUAUAAGAAGCCCCAAUGUAAUGAAGUUCAUAAUCUAAAUAAAUUUUUUAUUUCUGCAUCUUAGCGCUAUUGAAAGUAUCCUUUCCAUGAUUUAGAAAAGUAAUUUUGUUCUGUAGUUAUCCUUUAGCAAAAUCUAUACACAUUGCAUGUGCUUGGAGCAUUUGUGACAAGCAAAUGACGAAAACAAGAACAUCGCAUGACGCAGAACUUUUUGACUGUCAGAGUGAGGACAGAAUGUAUCGCUGCACCGUAGAGAAAGCACACUGCAUAUGCUCCAUUCGUGUAAACAGAUACGCUCCUGAAUGCCUCAGAAAUACUAAUUUGGGAAAAGAAUGUGCAUUGACUCAGUGUUGUCGCACUGUGCUGUUCUUGUUACUGUGAACAAUGUUGCCAGUAACCUUGGACUUGCGAAAUAAUGUACCAUUGUUAACAACGAAAUGACAGCCUUGCUUUGAUGAGUUGUGAUAACAAUUAUUCAUAUCAACACAAUUUGAUGGUGUCUGCUGGCACUAGGGACAGUCAGUACUGAAGUUUUGCUUUCAUUGUGACCUCUACUGCACAUGCCAGUGCUUUUGAUCUUGUAGUUACACUAGCCGAUUCAUAAUUUGGGCUUGGUUGUAACACCAUAGCAGGCCCAAGAGGUCCAGCGUAUAACAGCAACUAAAAUUGAUAUACCACACAAUGGUUUUUUUUAUUUUUCUGACAGUAUCUGCAUAUACUGCAUUGCAAAUAUGGCCUCUGUAAGCGACAGAACUAGCUGCAUUUUUCAUGGUAGCUGCGUUUUUCAUAGUUUUUGUUUACUUGGCUGUUGUGAUCAAACAGCUAACAUUGGGUUAUUCUCAAAUGCUGUCUACCCCUCACUUACUUUUCAUUCAUAAUAGACUUCAUUUGGUUAUAAUGAAAUUUGGAUUGUCACUGUUUAUUAUUCUGUCAUCUUUAAGCUGUUCACUUUUGGCCCCAACGAAAUUGUGUUUGGUUUGUCAAAGUUGCUUGUACCACAGCUGUUCAGCAUGUUGCAAGGAAUAUUGCAAGAAGAUAUUCCUAUACAAAGCCUGUUUGAAAAGUUUCCGACCAUGCUCCCAGAAAAAUAGAAGCGUUACCUGGUGUUUCGUCGUCCUAAUCCCCUUCAAUGUAGUUUCCUCCUGCUUCCACUCACUAAGUCCCACGCUCUUUCCACUUCUCGAAACAGCCCUGGAACCCCUCCUCGGGCAGUGCUGCUAGGGCAGCUGUCGUGUUUCACUUGAUGUCUUCUUGGGUUCAAAAGUGUGUUACCUUCAGGUGCCUUUCGAUAUUUCGGAACAGGCAAAAGUUACGCGGGCUUAUGUGAAGAGACGAGGGGGCUUGGCAAACCACUAAAAUACUGUGCCGAAGAAGACGGAAUCAUUUGAGCUGCACAAACAGGGGCGCUGUCUGGUGCAGUUGCCAGGUCUUUGAAUUUCUUUCAAAAUGUUUGUCAAAAUUUUGCUGUAACCCGCUGCUUACUCAAAUUGUCUUUAACAAGGCAUUCAUAGCAUCUUUGUUGCUACAGAAGGAUUAGGCACCAAAGUGGUCCAGUUGCAACCUACUCAUUCUUGGGCAGCGCACACGAAAACGAAACACGAGAAAGAAUACAGAACAAGCUCUGGUCUAACAACUGAAAGUUCUUAUUGGAAGAAAAAGAUUAUAUAGACGGUGAUUAUGAAAGUUAUGUGGAUAAAAUGUAAAAAAUCACACAUAUUCACAAGCAAUCAAUGAAUGCGAUCUCUUCGUUUGAUCUCUUCGUUUGAUUUGAGAAGCUGAAGAGUAAAACGUCCUCAGCUAAUCAGCUUUUUGUGUCACAGAGUGAGUGCAGAAGAGUUGCUGUAAUUCCUUAUGUGCACUCGAUUUUGCACAGGUCAAAGAAAAUUGCCAGGCAUUAUGGUGUUGACGUUUUUUUCCGUGGCAAGAAAGUUGGUGGUCUAUGCGCUGCAAUUGAUAGGCGUGCAAGAUUGGCACAGGAGUGAGUGAUAAUGUUUGCUCUGUUAAGCGUGUUAGUAAGUACACUGAUUGUUCCUUUGGAGUGGCGUAUAGGAUUUCUUGCACGUGUGGUAGCGUCUAUAUCGGACAGACUGGCCGUAGUGUAAGUAUCAGGCUACGCGAGCAUGCCAAUUUCUAAUGGAGUAGUGUCGUCGCAUCUUGCAAGCCAUUGUUGUAAUUGCGCAUUCUUUUGAGGAUACCUCGAUCAUCAUGAACACCACGAUCAGCACACACGUGAAAUUGCUGAGGCAUAUAAUAUAGUCAAGAACAAGAACAUGUGUAUAUGUCAGCCGUCAGUUUCCCCAUCAACCAAAGAGAUUGCAUUUAUUGACUGCUCAGGAAUAUGUGAUGAACUUAUACAUGUCAUUCACAUUUUCAUAAUCACUGUCUAUAUAAUCUUUGUCUUACAAUAAAAACUUUCAGGUGUUAGACCAGCGCUUGUCCUGUAUUCUUUCACAUGUCUCGUUUUCAUGUGUGCUGCCCAAGAAUGGAUUUAUUGCUACCCCCGACUGAACCACUUCUCCGAAAGUAAGCAGACGAUCCCUCCUUAUCACCCUUCAUAGAGAAUCGCAUCAUUAUGACUUCUUAAGGGCCUCCCAAAGCACGGCUCACUCUCCACAGCUGUUUGGCCUUUCUUGAAGCGGUUGUAUCCCAUUUUAAUCUUCGUCACGACUGUACCGUCAUCUACAAACGCUCUUUGGAUACUCUGAAUUGCUUCUGCAUGGCUACUGCAUGGCUACCGCCUAGCAUUGCACAUAAAUUUAUGCAGUACCUUUGUUAUAUUUGCUCAGUCAUUUUCGCUCACUCAUAAUUGUGCCAAGACGAGACGACAGCACUCAAAGCAACUGCUUCUACACAACAGCACACGCAACUAAAGGACACGCCACCAGCAGGGCAGGCUACAGCAGUGGUGGUACAGCUGCGCCAAUUGCACCAAAAUGCUACUUUUGUGGCUUGCUGUGCCAAGCUGCUCCAAAACAUUGAGCGAGACCAUGAAGGGUUCAUGCUCAGGCUAGUUGUAGAGGGGAGUGGCAGUUACGUAAAUAAAUUGUUUUGUUGUCAUCCUCAGGAUAGCGAGAUUCACUGCAGUCAUCGAGUAUCACACCAUUUCAGCCUGCUGCAUUCUGCUGUAUUCGUGUGCGAUAAAUGCGUGACUGUAUUAGCAUGCCCAUGAACCCGUGUUCAUUUUUUGUCAAAGGCUUGCAGUCCGAUACAUCACAUAACUUAUUGCAUAUCUUCAUACUUAUCCCGUAAGACGUCAGAGCCGGUAGACCAAACACACUUGGCCGACUUGGUCGCCCACCGUCAGUGGAUGCCUUAGUUUUUUUAGAUGACUUUUCACAUGGCAACUGGGUAUACGCAUUCUGUUUGUUGAUUUUAUUUUUUAUGGUUAUUUCAUUUACGGUGGUGUGAGUACAUUUAAAAUGUAAAUACGAAAUCUUCAAAUGGGUUGUGCGUGUCGCUUGCAAGGAACACCGUAGCAGUGCACAAGUCGUAGUGCACAAGUCGUCUAAGGACAUUCAGUUUAAAAUCACUUGACACGGCCAUGUUGUAUGAAGGUUACCGUGUUUGUAGAAUAAUAAUUUGUUCUUGCCCGCUGCUCUGGGUACUAGCACCAAGGAAACCAUAAAAUGGUUGUAAUAGCGGGAGUCCCUUUAAUACAAAGCUACACUGCAAUGGAUGAGUUACUGCAUUACAACUGCGUUAAAUGUGCUUAAAGGGAAGCUGAAGCACUUAAAAAAAAGUGAGCUUGCAGUGAGUUAUUAUUGCCUUAUUCCAUUCAUUUCCUUAUUCAUUGCAUUAGCCAUUCAUUGCCUUACAUAACAGACAGAUUUAAUUUUGAAGCAAUUUAAUUUCAAAGUAUCACAAGCGGCAAUGGCAGGCGAAUGCUGCUAACCACGCCGCCGAGUAAACUCGAAACAUUGAAUGCAAGCAACAAUGGCGGAUUGCGGGCAUACCGUCAGUGACAUCGUUCUCUCCAUCACAGCCAAAUGUGUGUGUAACCUCAUAAUUGAGAAAUACUUUGAAGGAACUCUCAGGAUUAACCCAGUGAUUAACACCGGGGCCGCACGUUUCUGCUUUGCUGGUUCACAGAGUGGAAGGGUUGACGAUUUUUUUUUUUUCCAAAACUCGCUGUAAGCUCCCAUUCCAGAGCGCGGCAUGCCAUUGUGAACGGAGCUUCACCGCAGCAGCGAAAUAACUAUUCGAAUUGUUGUUAAGCUAAGAAGCAUACUGCUGCGACUACCAGGAAUCGUAAAUCGGAACACUACACAAAAUGCUCUCAUCAUAACCUUGCUUAGCCAGGAAAAGGGUUCGAUUACCGCAGAAUAUGCAUGCUUAUUAAGCACACUUUUUUUUUCUGCCAAAGAUAAGUGCAGAAAGCCUGAGAAAUAUGCGCAACCGGCUGCUUCCAAAACGGGGAGCUGGGCAGAAGGCUCAUGUCACCUCCAUGAUGAUGCCACUUCUGGUGGUUCUCCUUUCCCGCUGUCCUCCUACGCUGCCCUCGCCACGGGAAAGUGGUGGAGCUAAGAUGAAAAUUUGAUUGGUGGUUGCCACGCAAUGACGCACACUAUUGAGAAAAUAAUUUCAAAUGUUGGAUAUUACUGUGACAGCUUCCCAAAACACCACAACUAUUACAAUUUCAAAACCACUUCAGCUUCCCUUUAAGGCAUGCUAGUAAAGGCCUCACAGCAAAGUUUUCGGCAAUGCAGUGACAGCGAUGUCAGUGUUGUUAAGCCAUAGCCAUAAAGAUUAAAGAGGAAGUUUUAGCUCGAGGCCAACUCUGAUGCCACCAAUUGAAAUGCACAUGUAAAACACUUAAAUGUUUUUAUGAGACAACUCCUGGACCAAUUGGGAUGAAAUUUGGUGAAUUUAAGAGAGAAAGUUCAAUUUUAGUGAUUGUAUUAAACAAAAUUUUGAUUUAAGGCAUGGCAUAUUGACAAAAAUAAACAAAAAUCGGCAUGUUUCAAAAUAUAAAAGCACAGUGUUUACAAAUCGUAACACUGCACCAGAAACAGAUAUCGGCAGCUGUAUGAACUGCAUCUGUUAAAUGCAUCUAAAGCCAAACAAAUUUGUUAUAUAAAUUUUGCAGCUUACAUAAAAUUGUUUCAACAUUUACGAGUGUUUUGCAAAAGUUCUACUCACAAAUAAUAGUAUAUUUCAAAGCGGUAAAUGAUAUAUCAAUUUUCUCCAUUUUCGAUUUGUUAUUAGGUACAGCUUACAGAAUAGUGAUACUAUUUUGAAUUGCUGAGUUACAGAUCUGUAAACUUGAUGGUUUCGUUAUUUGAAGUAUUGCUAUUUCAACAAUUUUUUAAAAGAACAUCGGCAACCUAAUUAAUAAGACUGCUUUUAACAGUCACUAGAUUUUAACAAUUUUUUUAAAAAUGUUAUGGACGUCAUCAAAUUUGGUGCUGUGAUUGCCAAGAAAAGCGAUUUCUCGGUUCCUACGUAUUUAGAUGGGUGCUCCCAAACUGCAAAUGAAAAGGAGCGAAGUGCAUGAACAUGUUUGUGGUGGAUUGAGAAUGAUAGCGCAUAAAAGAACUCUUACUGGAAACCUUAUUGUUCGAUAAUGUACAACAAAUGACUAUGUUGACUGCGGUUAAUAACGCACGCAUCGGUGAUGCUGAUAAAGAGAUUCAGAGCAGCCAGUCAUUCAUGGUGUGAAUGCCGAAGUGCUCUGUGUCAGCCACAAUCAUUACUAAAGUCAAGAUCACGUCGGCUACAAAGAAUUUUUAGACUAAUCAUGGGUUGAAUUAUUGAAAGAAUGCCUGGAGCGAAUGAGAAUGCAGAUGCGGGUAUGCUGUCUACCGGUGUGGCCAGUGUCAUGUGGUCACCGCCAAUAGGCGGUACGCGACAAUUUCUCUGUCAUACACUGGAGCUGUGCCAAAAAGCCUGCUAGCAUAGAAAAAAAGAAAAUGCAACUGCUUGCACCGUAGCUAAAGGUGCUUCGACUUAAGAUGGUUGGUUGUGCAUGUUUUCUUAUUGCGCUGUUUUGGAACACAAAACAAGGAACAGGACAUCGCACUCCUUCCUGCCCAUCUCCUGUUCAGUAUUCCAAAACAGCAUGGCAAGAAAACUAAGAAUGUGCCGUAGCUUUGGACCACAAAAUUGCAGUUUGUGUUCGGGAAUUAUACUUCCACGAUAACUGGUAGGCAGAAACAUGAAUCUUGCUUGAAAUAAUCAUCUCAUGCUUAUAUAUGUUUGGAUACCGAGCGUUUUUCUCAAUUUAAAUGUCUGGCUCCAUGACGAGACCCAAAAUGCUAUUCAAACUAAAGGAGCUAGAAUUAACAGGACUUCACUGUCCAUCAGCUAAAACACUAGCAAGCAGGACAGAGAAGCAUCUUGUGCCCUCCUAUGUCGGAUCUGUGACAGCAGGAAUUAAUGCAAAAAGGAAAUCACUUACAUCAUUCAGCUGUUCUAGAUUUGGAGUGUUCUGAUCCAAAUAAGCUUCUUGAAAUUUAAGAUCUGUAGCUCCAAACAUUUACUUUCUUCUACUGUUAACAUGCUCUAAAUUCAGAAUAUUCAGCUCCAUAAUCAAGAUUUUCUGCUCCAAAAAUUGCUCCAAAAGCUGUUUCAGCUGUUCCACUGCUGCUUAAGACACCGUGGCCAUCCUCCCACAUCGCACAGUGUGGCCAAACUGCACCCUGCAGUUCUCUCAUGGGUGGGACUCUUGUGCCAAUUGCACCAUUUUGAUACAAGUGCAAAUUCCUGCGCCAGACUGCGCCAAACACAGAAAAGUGUCCCAAAUUGCGGCUUGCUGCGGCAGAACGGCUUCGGCAUGUGCACUCCGGCUGUGAACAGCAAGCGUAUUCGUCCUACAAAAAAGAGUGCAGCCCUUCACAUUCCGCACACCGCGUGGUGGCGUUUCCUGCACAUUUUUUCGUAAUUUUCACGCUUAAAACACCAGACUUUUCGGUGCUUCCGGCAAGUGGUCAGUGCGCACACGGUCACUCCCGGCUGUUUUCACUGCUGUAGGAACGGCCAGGGUGGCUGUAUUUAGUGUGUACUAGAAUCCGGUAGAGUGGGCUGGGCGCUGCCAGCAAGCAAGAUAUUGGGGAGGUGCGCACUGCGGCCGGUUCAGUGGGCGGGCUACUCUGUCCCCUGGGCUGGUAUAAUGUAAAACUAUUCCAAUCUGUUCUUAUGCCAACAUGGGCGAGGCCUGAGCCACUUUGACCUAUCAUGAAGGGCUAAUGGUGGAUUUGUGAUAAAAAUUUGUAAUAAAAAACCCGAAAGGCGAAGUAUCGAUUGCGAUAGAACGCCCCCUCCCCUCCCCCCGGUGCAUUUCCUCCCUUGCGCAUGUGAGAUUGAGCCGCCAUCGUCGGCUCACCCUCGCACACUUUCACUUGCACAUACAGCAUACGGUGCGCGCUGACGCGGUUAUUGCCCCUGGACUUUAUGCGGAACAUCACGGCGAUGACAGAAAUGUACCUGCAGUGUCCAUGUAAUUGCUAUCGCAAUAAAAACAAAUUGGAAUAGCUUUACGGUAUACCAGCCCAGGGUUGAUUGCAGCUCUGGGUCCGUGGUGACAUAUGGUGACCCAGAAAUUAUGUUACCGCUUCAUUUGGACGGCAUAAUUUGAGAAUACUUGCCGCUAUCAUCAUGAGCCUCGGUGCGGGAAAAUAUAGUUCGAUCAUAGGUACCACUGAUGUUUUCGGCUUUACAGGAAAGCAUGUGCCGUGCCCCUGCUUGACCCAUUCUUCUAUAUUUUAGUAUGCUAUAGCUACAAAGUGCGCUUCUACUACGCACUUCGCGUUGUUGGUUUAUUCUGUGUUUCUUUGUGGUUUCGAAGUGCGCUGCCAUAUUCUACCAAAAAGUGAGAUUGGCCUGCUUCAAACUGCUUCAAAAUGGAAUUUUGUCUGGUCCACAUUGCUCCAAAAUCAAAUUUAGUCUGCUCCAAAAAUUGCUCCAAAAUGACUUUGGGCAGUCCCAUCCCUGUUCUCUCUAAAAUAAAUAAGGUUGUAUACUUUUCUAACAGGCCUUGUUUUACGGACGUAUUUGCAAGAGUUUUAUGCUCACUUUUCACAGGGCACCUAUUGCAAGGAGGCGGGAAAUUUUCUUUUGUGUACCUUAAUACACUUGAGCUGGUUGUGUUACUGUUUAACCCUUUCUCUACUGCCGAUUAGUAUAGUCAUCAUGAGGAAGCUCACUUUGCACUGUGAACCGAUGAUAAGUACAUGUGCCAGCUUGCUUCAAGCUGCAGUUUUUGGCACUAGAUAGCUGCACUUGUGAACAUUAGUGUCAUUAUGUGCAGUUUUUCUUUUUAUUUAUGGCUGCUUGAGCACUUGCACUAGAAACAUGGUCGUCUGCACGCUGCAUGUCUCAAAAGUUUCUGCGAUAUUCAGUACAAGUCUUGUCAGUUACUGCAGUAUGCAAAGGGUUAAUGUUGACAUAGUACACCCUAAAAUUGGCCAUCUAUGAAUAAGCAAAUUUGCAUAGCCAUGCUUUACUUAACAUAUUGUGCUUCUUCAGACAAGAUGUGUUUGUUAAUCUUAUGGUGUUGCAGUGAGCAGCUACAUGGUAGCAAACUGUAAAACUAGUACGGUCUAGAGAUAUGUUGGUUGCUGAAGUUACAGUGCUGCUUUGCAGGAAGGCGGGUCCCUUUUGCCGAACCUGCAACAGGGCGUUUUCAACACGUGGCAGCCUCAACCGACACAUGGAGAUGCACCAGCCAUUUCGUGUCAAGCAUGCCUGCCACCUUUGCUUCAAGGAAUUCGCGUGGCCUAGUGAUCUGACCACCCAUCUGCGCAUCUCCCAUGGGUCACCUCACACACGUCGUGUAGGACGCUUUAGCUACACCAAAGCAAAGCUACCUCCCAGCUGAGGCCCCAGUUUGUUUGCUCUGCUUGCAUUUGAUGGCAUUGCUUGCCUGCCUUUUGUGCUCACUCACUUUGAAAUUUACUUGGCAGUUCCCUACCUCUUUUGACCUUCUAUUGGUUCCUUGUCUGAGGGGGCGUGCUCUGUCUGUCAAAUGCAGGACAUUCUAGGUUCAACUCCCAGCAAUCACAGCUUUAUAUUAUUAUGGCCAAAUACUUGUUGCUGAGGUUUAAUUUUACAUUUACUAAAAUUUUAGCAAUGGUAACUUAUUGGAGCCCUCUAAUGCGUUGCACAGAAUGCAAGAUGAUGACAUUACAUCACAGCAGUCAAAUGUUCAGAACUGAAGAUGUUGUUUUAGAUGCGAGAACAAUUGCUGUGCCCCUACAUUAGUCAAUUGGUGAAUUGUGGCGUUGUCAAGCCCUCGUCAAGUGGCUGGUGAAAUGGUUUUUGUUCUGGUUCUGGCGUUUCAUCUUUGUUCUCUCUAAGGACUGAAUGUGAAGUAAACAAUAUUAAAGAAGGGUGUCUUUCCUAACAUCCACUGCUGCUUAUAACUGUAAGAACCAUUACAGGGUCAGUCAACAGUGGAAGUUAUCUCAGUUAACAUGCUCUUAAUGCAAAAAUAAAGCAGGCACAGCAUGCGCAGGAAGCUUUUUGUUUAGCAGUGUCACUUGCAAGUACAAACAUUGUACUUAAUGUGGAUGGCAUGUGUAGAUAAGCUCAAAGGCGGUUUUUGGGCAGCAUUAAACAGUGGGAGAAAGAUGCCAAAUUGUGCUGCCACGCAUCAUACUUUCAGGCAGCAUCGUUUUGGUAAUGUGAGAAAGCCUUAUGGUUUUUAGAAAUAUUGUGCAGCACUGUUUUAUUGAUUGGGGGUGUUGAAGGUCAACCAAUUUUGGAAAUGGAGGACACAAGCUCCCAAAUGGCAUAGCGAUAGAACACUUUAUUGCAGCAAAAGCUAAUGAUCAAAGCUGCAAUUUUAAGAUUAAAAGGGGGAAAAGAUACUUAUGCCAUGAGGUAAUGAUGCCUGUAACAGUAUAACCUCAGUGUUAGCUAGGAAAACAUACCCUUCAGGUACAUUUAGAUACCUAAUGGUGGAUAGAGCUUGGAUUUCUUAUUAGUUUGUUUUCAGUGCUUGAAACAGCGUUAGAAUUACUCUUUUCUGUUUAAUUUGAAAAUGAUGUUAUCAAUACUUGCAGCGUCAUAUGGUCAUCAGCAUAUUGUAAAGGGUUAGAAGGGUUUUUAAUUAAGCUUUCCGUGUGCGCAUACACACGGACAGACACUUGCGCUCUAUUCGUUUACGUCUCUUUUUUCCUGUGUUUGUCCGUAUGUAUGUGCAACGCUUCCCGAUACAGCUAUGCACCAACUCGCCCAGCAAGAAGUUCUUCUUAAUUAAGCUUGUUGGUGCAUUUCUACGUGAAUGCUUAAGGACAGCGUGAAAAGAUGAGGCAAGAGUUGACAACAUGAGUGCAAACUAACAACUUUCUGGGUUAUUGCUAAUCUGCUUUUAGUCUGCACUCGUGUUGCCUAAUCUUGUCAUAUUUUUUCCGUGCUGUCCCCAAGGAUUCACAUAGAUAAAGGGUCAAUACAGUCAAAAGCCCAAAAGCCUCAUGAGGGAGAAUACACGAUCUGCUACUAAGGGAGUGUCAGUGGGUUGCCCGAGUGCUUCUUGUAAAUAUGCCUGGGAUUAAGAUUCCAUCGUCUAUCAGUAGUUGCUCACCAGAUUCAUCAUACAAAGCAAUGGCAUGGCAAUGGCAAAGCAGUUUCGGCACUAGCUUCAACGAACUUCUUUAAGGGAUAAGGUGUGACAUGAAUGCCACAAAAAAGAAAUAAAUAAAAUAUUUGACCUCUUCUAUCACAGUCACUGAAUGCUCUUGACAUUUGCACUCGCACCUGUCAUUUUCUUCUUUGUAGCCUUUUCACUAUUUAUAGCAUGUUUGCAGAUUCUAGUAUCAUCAGAGAAUUAGUGCUAUAUUAACAGAACACACUCAUCUUGAGACAUUCGAAAUGUGCAGUAGCUGUAGUCUUGAACAGUCAUUGUUGGGGAUAAUUUCCUCAGUGCUGAACACACAGUGCAUGUUAUGGUGGUGCGCACUCCAUGUCAUCUGCAAGCGGUGCCCCUGAAAGAGAUUGUUCCAGAUGGGCAGUUCUCAAAUAUGCACUGAACCCCUAAAAAUGUGAACAUGCUUGCAAAUGGAGCAAUUGUAUUGCUCUGCUGUGAUUGUCUUUUUCUUUCUGUGAUGAGGUCGGGGUGUCCUUGUAGGUGACCAAACUAAAGCUCACCAGCGAAAAGCUCAUCAUACAAAAGUUCACCAGACAAAGUUUCGCCAAAUAUAACUCGGAUGAAAAGCUCACUGGACAGAAAUAUCACUUAGAAAUUCAUUUUUGGAGACAUUAAAUAUUUUGGGAAGUUUGUCUAGGUUGAGUCAUGUUAGGUUGAGUAAAAUUUGUUUUGCUUGUUUUAAGUUGGAUUAGCUUAGGUUUGGCUUAGUUUUCCUGUCAUAGUUGGUGGCUACUUGAAGCACCCAAACAGACUGCCAUCUGUUACACCAGUCCAACGCGCAGCUUGGAACAGUAUAUAUUCAGUACUAUUAUUCGGUAUAUUCACUAAAAAGCAACUAUUCAGAAGUACUCAAUAUGAUAUUAAACAUUUGAAUAUGGUUCAAAUAGCAAAACAUGCUGGGUUCAUGUGCAAUAUUCUUGCUAUUUGUACACCACUAUCCACCAAUUUUUGUCAGACGAGAUUUCAAAAAUAUGUGAAUCAGUUUGAAAAAAAUAGCUUUCUUAUGGUACGGGCUUGCAUCCAGUUUAGAAACAGUGAGCAUUGGUUGUUCUGCCCUGUCAAAUGUUGAUGUUUUUUAAAGGGUGAGCAUUUGCCCGAGUAGCUUUUGUCUUGAAUUUGUUCUCAUGUAAGGGGUCUGCUUACAUGCCAUGGCCCCGGUGCAGGAAUUAUUGAAGAACCUGAUGUGAUGUGCUAGUUUUGUCUUAUGCAUUUAUUUUGGCCUGCUUCUGCAAACUGGAAAGACGAAAGUGGUUUUUAAGUUCUCAUGUAGACAACCAAGCAAUUACAAAGGCUCAAAUUACCUCAUUUUUGACUCUUGUUCAAGGUUCGACAAAGGUUCAGUACGUUUGCAUACUCAGCAUUUUGCUCAGUAUGUUUUAAUUAUAGAUGCAAUGUGUUUUUCGAGAUGAGGGCUUUUCAGCAAUACACUGUUGCACGAUAACUGUUUGUACUCAAUUGCAGACUGAAAUAAUUUGUUUUUGGAUCAGCCACAUUGCAGCUGACAAUUGUGGUGUGGUUGAUAAUUUAUUUGCUUUAUCAUUUCCUAUUCAUUUUCGUAUCCUGCCCAUGUUGACUUCUAAUUGCUGUUAUUUUUUAGUGUGCAAAUGACAUGCAACAAGAAGUGCUCUCUAUUAAUUCAUGCACAAGUCUGGUUCUGAGGCUACACCUGUUACGAAAAGAGGCUUGGAAAGGCUUUAAAGUGCAAUAGAACUUUGUGUGUGACACAAUUUACACCAUGUGCAACUUUGAAAAUUUGUUUACGUCAUGGAAUAUUAUUAAUGGAGCACCAACAAAAUUAUGUUACAUUGAACUCAAUUGGUAGGUUUAACUUUGAAAAUAGCAGCUUAAGGGACGUUUCCUUAGGACGGAGGCUUGAGAAGAAACACUGCAAAGAAACAGCAUGGAAGAAAAAGACAGACACAUUGCCAUUGUUUCUUCCUUUCAUCCAUCCUGUUCCUUUGUGCUGUUUCUGCUCGAGUCAUGAACCAGCCAGCCUAAGUGUGUACGCUUCAACAAAAGCUUGUUAUUCCAAAAAUUUACAUGACAGCAAAAUAUUGGUGGUGAUGCAACCUCGAAAGUUCUUCCCCAGUUCCCAUGAUGUCAUAAAUUGUGGCAGAAUGUGGCCAACAACACCUAAACAUUAGGUAAUAAAGAAAGGAAUAUUGCAUUAAUAUACAAAUGGUACCUUUACUUGGCAAUCAUUGUGGACUUUUUUCUAUAUACCAUGAGCCAAAUAUGUAAAAAUGCUGGAAUGUUUCUGACAACACAGAAUGACAUCAUUAAUAGUGUAGUUGGUGAAAUUAAAGAAGGGAAGCUCAAUGUAAUUUUUUUAUGUUAAUUUAUCAUCGUUUGCUGCAAAAUAAACACAAAGAGAGAUAAUUCUGGGUUAGGUGUCUGAGGUUCAGCUUCACUUUGCGUUUCCCUUUAGUGUUCUUUUAAACAUCAACUGCAAUCAAGGCCUUGUAAAUGCAACAUAUUAGAACUGGAUCAGUGAGAAGCAACUUUCAGUCAUGUAUUAUUAUUAUUAUUAUUAUUAUUAUUAUUAUUAUUAUUAUUAUUAUUAUUAUUAUUAUUAUUAUUAUUAUUAUUAUUUGCAGGAUGACUUGAACAUUCUUGCUCAUUAUGUAUCUGAUCACUAUAUCGACUGAAGCACGCUCAAAACUUGCUUUAUUGCCUGUUAUGGACAGACUUAUUCACAGGAAUGGCACUCUGGAACUUUCUGAGGGCCGUACUUCAUAUACUGCUGUUCUGUUUCUGGAGAGCUGUGUGCCAAGUCUUGUUAUAAAAGACAUGCACAUUUUGACAGAGACAGCUUUCAAACUUCUUUUUUGCCCAUUUUAGAAGUAGUACAUUAUUUCAUACAGAGGCAUAUGAUGUCAUCAAGCUGAACUAAGUGCUUCUUGGCUGGCCAACUGAUCACUGAUCACUAGAGAGACAUUUUGCACACCAUAAGGCAUAGUAAAAAAAGUCCUUCACUGGUGUAUGCCAACCUGACAACUGAUACAUCAAAGACAGCGAAGCUGUAUAAGCAAGUUCUCACAUCUUUCAGAAGUACUAAUGAGUUUUUCCUGGUUAUAAAUCCUGAGCUGGCUGUAGCCAUUUUCAAGUGUACAACUUGCUGUACUCACUUUAUUUGUUUUCCCCACUGCUUUGCCUUUUGAACAGGCACACACUGAGUUCCUUAGUGUAUCAAACCUUUUAACUGAAGGCUUUAAGAAAGCUACUCAAUCAGUUCAACCUCGAGAGGACACACAUGGCAGCAGGCAUUAAGAGCAACUGGUGUAUUGCUCUCAGCGUAUGCAUGCAUUAUGCAAUGGUUAUGCCAGUGCAUCUGGUAGCUCCGCAUUGCACUAGGGGGAUAGUGGCCCUCGUUCGGUCUAGUAGUUCAUAGUAUGAGCUUCAAAAAUGCCACAGAAGCAUGAGCUAAUUGCCUAUGAAAUGUAGAGUAAGCAACACUACACUGCACCAUGAGGCUGUGCCUCAUGAAGUGAUUAUUGAAGGGGACGAGCCUUUCAUGACAUGCAACAUGCAGCAGAAAUUGGCGGGUGCUGAAGCAAUGCAUGCAUGCUCAGUGAUGCAGAUAAGACAACACAGAGUGGGAAAUGGAGAUCUGGAGCCCGCUCUAUAUGUAUGUACUCCACCUUCACGGAAAAGAAUGCAUGAGCAUGUGGCCUGUGAUUCAUGGUGGCUGCUUAUGGUGCAGCUAGCAGGCGACUCGAAGUACUACAAAUGCUAAGCCAUGGCUCACAGUCAAGUUAAGAAAGCUCACAGCGCCACCUGUGGUUGGCGUUAGCAUCUAUAAAGCUUUUUACAGUCACUUAGUGGUGGCACAAUAAGUGGCCGCUACAGAUUGCAGGCCAAACACCCCUGCAUUCCUUUUCAUAAAGGUGUUUUGUGUACAAUGCAUGGGGUUUCGCAACGACUUGUAAGCCAUCAGAUUCCACAAGCCAAGCAUAAGCCCCUCUGCUAACAUAGGUAGUGGAUUUCAGACCAUGAGGGCCAACAAUGCACAAACUAACUUCAAGAAGAAACCUUGAGAAGUAGCUUUAGAUAUACACAUAAUAGGUAGUAUAUACACUGCAGUUAGGUAUGAUUGAGCCAAAGCAAAGUGACAAUACUUAACAGCGAGAGACUGUAGCUCAUCAGUAAAAUGGAAACAAUUUAUUUAUCUGUGCUAUGUGUGCUAUGAGUGAGAACGAGUGCUAUAGCUGAUUUAUUUCUUGUGAAUGCAAGGAAAUAGGCAUUUCUGUAAAGUUAUUUGCUUUUUAAGAAGCCCUGAUUUUUCAGGAACAUCCUUUUAACAGCUGUGCAUGAGUGGUUUACGACAUUGUUAUUAAAACAUGACAGCUGGCAUGAUUUUAGAAAGCUGUAAGAAAAAAGGCACAUUCACUUGAACAAAGUUGCCAGUUUUAUGUUGUGUGUUGAGGUGUUAUAUUUGGUUUACUUGUUCAUUACACAAUCUCAUAAUUAAAUCUGUCUAUAUUAACCACAUUCAAACAGUGUUGCAGAGGUUUCUCUUUUUGCCUUAGAUAUUUUAAAAGGACACUAAAGAGCAAACAAUAAACGGGCUGAAACCAAUUCAUAUUUAAAGUAUUCCUUAAAAAAUAUAUUUUCAUCAAUUUGGUAGAGAGGAGGUUGAUUACUAGUGAAGAAAGUGAAGGUCAAGCUUCCCUUUCUUGAGUUUUGUGCAGAAACUUCAAUGCUGGUACGUCACUAUGAUGUUACGGACUGCAAGGUAUUUUCUUUAAUGUAGACUGUUUUAGUGCAGGAAUAGUUACUGUAUUUUCCGGUGUAUAAGACACGGUUUUUUUCUGAAUUAUUCAUCGGUGUGUCUUAUAAAACGACUUACGUACAUUUUUUUUUCCGGAAAAACUGCCGUCAAAAUCGGAUUCGAUGCUAUGGCCACGCGAAGAGCGCUGGUUGACUUAAUUGCUAUGGUUAAUUCUGUGUGCGCUAUCGAGGUGGCAGGUACGUUCUUCUCGUGAUCGAGUUCCCGAGCGCCGGGCGAGAAGGAUGGAGCAGCAACGCAAGCGGCGGCUGGCCGACCUCGAAUUCGUCGCAUCUGCAGAUCGCUUUCAAGAUAAGGCGCACGCCGCUGCGCAAACUACGCAGUUGCUACCAGAGUACAAGCCCCCCCCCCUCCCUCCCUCCCACGCUGCCUUCCCGCUUUCCUCCUUUGUGCGCGAUUUGGCUCACCGUCGGACGCUUUCACUCGCACAUACAGCAUACGGCGCACGGGGAUGAUGUUAUCGCCCUUGGACUUUACACGGAACAUCGCGGCAACCACGACGGCAGAAAUGUGCCUGGAGUGGAAAUAUAUAGUACACAUGCGCUUGCGCGGGACCCGCGUUCAUAGAGUGAAACGUCACUAUAAUUUUUUUAAAUCGCUUACCGAACGAACAGGUGCGUCUUAUACACCGGUGUGACUUAUAUAUGUUUUUUUCCGGAAGAACUGCCGUUUUGAGGGGGGGGUGUGUCUUAUACAAAGGUGCAACUUAUAAACCGGAAAAUACGGUAUUAAAACUUGCUACAUUGAGGCUUGGCUCCUUUGGAAAGCCAGUAUGAUCUUCCAUUACCCAUAAACUACCAACUAGACUCGAGCCGAAGCUGCCAAAUAUGUGACAUUAUGGUGAUCUGUUGCUGGAGCAUUUAAUUGUGCCUUUUAUGACAUACCAAGCAUACUCUCAUGAUAAGCUUGGCUGUCUUACUAUUGCAGAAGCAUAAUUUACUAACACAGCUUAAAAGUUAAUGUUCCUUUAAUGUCAAUUUUUAAAGGAGUACUGACGCAAAAAUUUGGUGUCUUCCUUUUCUUGCUUUUUUAGGUAGCUGUCGACUCCAUAGUUAUGGUGCGAAGCCUCAAUUCCUUGAGAGCACCACAAGUGAAUGAUCACGGCACCCUUUGUACAGCCUGCCCAAAACGCUCGUCAAGCGCAGCGUGGCCUUGGGCGUGAAAAUGGUUACUUCUCACUUCACCGAAAGCGUAGGUGGUGGGUUGUGGUAGUUGAAGGGCAUACAAUGACUGUGUCACCAAAAGCUGCCAAACUAGCCCCUCCGAUUGGUCACAUACUAAGUGGUUCAUUUCGAAAAGGAAAAGUUGGCGCUAUAUUCUGCAGCCCUUGAGGACACUCUCUCUCCCCUAUUGUCCCAUCAUUGCCACAGUGUGUGUACCCGUAUGUGGUAUCUGCUACCACAAGACCGCCCAAUAGGUUUUGCUGACAAAAUAGUAACCUUUUUCACGUCCGAAGCAAUGCCUCUCUUGGCAGGCGUUUUGAAAUGGUAGAAUUAAAAGUUAACGUAGUUAUUGAUUUGCUGAACUCUUGGGGAACUUAGACUUCGUAACGUAAUUAUUUGGUGGAGGGCUAUCCAAUAAAUUAAUAGAAACUGGGGAACAAAUUUCUGUCAGUACUCCUUUAAAGGGUAAAACACAGAAUCACAGUUAGCAUUGCAGCACAGCUUUGUAUGUUUAAACAAAUGUCUGCACAUCCUUGUGAUGAGCAAGCUGAUUUGGUAUGGUGCUGAUGCCUUCUACAGAUGUUGUCAAGUGUUGCCCAUCAUCAGUGCUGUUGUUCAGGGAAUUAUAAGACAAGACAGGCUAUAGUUGCAUGGAAGCCUGUUAGCAGCAUGUUGGCCUUUCUGCUACAUAGGCCAAGCAGUGCUGUAAAAGUGUAUGCACAAGAAAAGAUGCCGCAUAAUUUGUUUAGUUUUCCAUCCUCAGCUAAUGGAUGUUUCUGGCUUACUAUAAUGUUGUGCAUGCAGUGAAGUGCCAGAUAGGGGACUGGUAUUUUCAUGGUACCAGCUAGCUUUGUUGUCACAGACCUGAAGGGGGAGUUCAAAUAGUGAACUGCAGUCACAUUUGACACUAAUUUUUCGUGGGAGGUGUGCAUAGAAAGUCCCUUCACUGCACAUGCUUUCUGUAACCACACUCUUGACUAGGUGAGAGAAGAACUUUGCACCUUUUUUCACUCCUUGGUUUGCACUGUGUUUAAUGAUGUGGGCAGCACCAGUUUGUUUUCUUGUCUUUUAUUUUUCAUCAUGGAUAUGCUUAUUGACAUUUAUAACUGACAUUGACAUGUUUAUUCAGUCAUCAGUGUUGCACAAAUGUUUGAGCUGCAUCUUGUCACCAUAGCUAAGGAACACAAUAUAAUGCAUUUUAAUGCUGGUCAACAAUUGGUAUGGAUAUUUUUCAUAUUGUUCACUGAGGGCGCUGCUUUUUUUUUUUUUAGGAAUGGUUGUGCAAAAACACAAUGCAGUUUCUUCCACAAAUGCUUUAAUUUUUUGCUGUUUCUGCUGUUUCACUGACAAGAAACAGUGGUGUUAAGAAAGCUACCUUCCUUGGAUUGUAUAACUGCUGCUGCUUUAGCAAGUCCCUUAAAAUAACAAGCCAGUAUCCUUUCACUUUCAAGAAAGCAACACACAGAUUUCUAAAACAUUACUUGCUAAUACUAAUAAUUCAUUGUUCGUAACAUGACUGCAAAAAUAAGCUCUUAAGUAACAACUAAAAUGUGAAACACGUGCAUUUUGACCUAAGUAAACAGUGACAUAACUAGGUACCUUGGGAGGAGUGGGUUUCGGAAUGUUUUUAUGACAUGGUGAACUUAGUGAUUGAAGGAAUCACCGGCCUCAUUUCAGUGUAAGGUAGGAAAUGGGGUGGGAGCUCAAGCGCUAGUGACAUUUCCUUGGCUUCACGCUUGCUUGGGAGGUUAUUUUGUCAUCCCCAUCAUGCAGAUCAACACAGACAACCUGUUAGCCAGUUGUAUGAAUAAUGUACAGCUAUCUUAGCAUUCUUGAAGCUCACUUGUUUGAACAGCUGAGACUUCUGUCCAUUAAACAUUUAUUUUAAUAUCCAACACUUUUAACUAGUAGGAUCUGAACUUAGCUGUUGAUCUGAUGACUCAAGCUAGGCAUGAGAAGUUAAUCAUCCUUGAAGGGCAUCAAGUAAAUUAUUUAAUGUUUCAUUGUUUGGCUUGCAGACACUGCUGUGUAGCUGUUUUACUUUUUAUUUCUUUAUUUUUCUUCUUGGCAAAUAAUGGAUUGCUUGUGAAGGGCUGUAGUAUCCCUUUUCAUGCCAAAGUGCAGUUGAGAUGGAAAAGCGUGGUUGCUUGUUCUAGAAUACCGGUAGGAAUUGAAGAAACUGAUGGUUUUACUUUGUAAACGCGGAAAUGAACGAGUUUUCUUUUGCAAGUGUAAGGCUUUAAUGACACUCUCAGAUGUGUUUAUUGUGGCAUUUAAUUGUCUCAGGUCCCUUUAUUAUUCCUUCCUACGAGUUCUUACAUAUAUUUUUAUGUUAUAAUUCUUUAUCAUUGUUGCUGUGAAAAAGAUUUUUUACACUGCACUUUUUGGGCAUCUACAGGAGCACUGACAUCAAAAUUAUUGCUUUUCUUUUUUCUGCUUGAAAUGAUGCUACAGCUACCGUGUAUUGCAAAAUGAGAUUUGGUAUUCAUUGACAGAUGUCACAGUUUAUUAUUAGUAAGCUUCUUUUUAACAAAGUGGUUCUGGCAUCUGGAAGACAUGCCUGAAACACGACAUCACCAGCUGUGAUCAGCAUGUAUGUGAAAGUUAUGCGAGAUCUGGUGUUGUUUAUGCAGUUCCAGCGAACAUUUCACUACAUAUUUCUUGCUAUAUUCUUAAGUACGGUGUAUGCAUGCUUGUAUCUCUUGCAUGCCACAGUGGCCAUCCUUGUGCAAUCCUUUUGGCAUUUCUACACCCAGUUUGCAAUGUCACUGUUCUCUUCAUUUAAGAAUUUUACAGCUUGAAAAGCACAAAAGCAUGUUUAAAAAAAUGCUUUUGAUUAAUUACAGAUUGCCAUUGCCAAAUUCUGUACUGUAGUGCAUAAUCGGUGAUUAUGUGGAAAAAAGUGCGGUCAAAAUUUUGAUGUCUGUACUCCUCUAACAUUGUCUUCUGUUUAUGAAGUUGAUGAGCUUACAAGCUCAAAGUUUAUAACAGCUGUGUGAGGGAAAGCAUGCUCAUCUUAAUUAUAUUUUUUUUCUGUCACUUUUUGACAAAUAAAAUUGUUUAUACUCUUUC